CGCCACCCAGGCGCCCCAGUGGGAGUCAAAUUUAAAAGGCCGUGUCCCUUCUGUCUGAACACCAAAGGUCAACACUUCUUUCACUGGAAAGCUGGCAUCUUCCCGGCACUGAUGACUACUGAAGGCUAUUGCAGAUUCUGUCAGCUACCAACAUCUCGGUCAAUAUCCUGUGUUUUCCUUCCAUUGUCCACGCCGUCCAGGCACCAUAUACCACAUGGAUGCUCCUCUGUGGAAACUGAGGUUAGCAACAUCUAACACAACUCCUUCCGAAUAGCCUUGAAAAUCCUCACACAGACCCUUGAUGGCCCCACACUCUUUGGUUGUUUCCAUGUCUUGGACGUUGCAGUUAAUGCGGCAGUAAAGGUGGGAGUGCCGAUACCGUCUCAAGAAAAUGAUUUCAUUUC